UUCCGGUUGAUCCUGCCAGAGGUUACUGCUAUCGGUGUUCGACUAAGCCAUGCAAGUCAUAUGUUCCUCGUGAACAUGGCAUACUGCUCAGUAACACGUGGAUAACCUGCCCUUGGGUCUGGGAUAACCCCGGGAAACUGGGGAUAAUACCGGAUAACGCAUAUGUGCUGGAAUGCUUUAUGCGUAAAACGGAUUCGUCCGCCCAAGGAUGGGUCUGCGGCCUAUCAGGUAGUAGUGGGUGUAAUGUACCUACUAGCCAACAACGGGUACGGGUUGUGAGAGCAAGAGCCCGGAGAUGGAUUCUGAGACAUGAAUCCAGGCCCUACGGGGCGCAGCAGGCGCGAAAACUUUACAAUGCGGGAAACCGUGAUAAGGGAACACCGAGUGCCAGCAUCAUAUGCUGGCUGUCCAGAUGUGUAAACUACAUCUGUUAGCAAGGGCCGGGCAAGACCGGUGCCAGCCGCCGCGGUAACACCGGCGGCCCGAGUGGUGACCGUUAUUAUUGGGUCUAAAGGGUCCGUAGCCGGUUUGGUCAGUCCUCCGGGAAAUCUGAUAGCUUAACUGUUAGGCUUUCGGGGGAUACUGCCAGGCUUGGAACCGGGAGAGGUAAGAGGUACUACAGGGGUAGGAGUGAAAUCUUGUAAUCCCUGUGAGACCACCUGUGGCGAAGGCGUCUUACCAGAACGGGUUCGACGGGGAGGGACGAAAGCUGGGGGCACGAACCGGAUUAGAUACCCGGGUAGUCCCAGCCGUAAACUAUGCUCGCUAGGUGUCAGGCAUGGCGCGACCGUGUCUGGUGCCGCAGGGAAGCCGUGAAGCGAGCCACCUGGGAAGUACGGCCGCAAGGCUGAAACUUAAAGGAAUUGGCGGGGGAGCACAACAACGGGUGGAGCCUGCGGUUUAAUUGGACUCAACGCCGGACAACUCACCGGGAACGACAGCAAUAUGUAGGCCAGGCUGAAGACCUUGCCUGAAUCGCUGAGAGAGAGGUGCAUGGCCGUCGCCAGUUCGUACUGUGAAGCAUCCUGUUAAGUCAGGCAACGAGCGAGACCCA
rnacentral:rRNA from 1 species